UCCUACGGGAGGCAGCAGUGAGGAAUAUUGGUCAAUGGACGCAAGUCUGAACCAGCCAUGCCGCGUGCAGGAAGACGGCUCUAUGAGUUGUAAACUGCUUUUGUACGAGGGUAAACUCACCUACGUGUAGGUGACUGAAAGUAUCGUACGAAUAAGGAUCGGCUAACUCCGUGCCAGCAGCCGCGGUAAUACGGAGGAUUCAAGCGUUAUCCGGAUUUAUUGGGUUUAAAGGGUGCGUAGGCGGUUUGAUAAGUUAGAGGUGAAAUCCCGGGGCUUAACUCCGGAACUGCCUCUAAUACUGUUAGACUAGAGAGUAGUUGCGGUAGGCGGAAUGUAUGGUGUAGCGGUGAAAUGCUUAGAGAUCAUACAGAACACCGAUUGCGAAGGCAGCUUACCAAACUAUAUCUGACGUUGAGGCACGAAAGCGUGGGGAGCAAACAGGAUUAGAUACCCUGGUAGUCCACGCAGUAAACGAUGAUAACUCGUUGUCGGCGAUACACAGUCGGUGACUAAGCGAAAGCGAUAAGUUAUCCACCUGGGGAGUACGUUCGCAAGAAUGAAACUCAAAGGAAUUGACGGGGGCCCGCACAAGCGGAGGAACAUGUGGUUUAAUUCGAUGAUACGCGAGGAACCUUACCCGGGCUUGAAAGUUACUGACGAUUCUGGAAACAGGAUUUCCCUUCGGGGCAGGAAACUAGGUGCUGCAUGGUUGUCGUCAGCUCGUGCCGUGAGGUGUCGGGUUAAGUCCCAUAACGAGCGCAACCCCUACCGUUAGUUGCCAUCAGGUCAAGCUGGGCACUCUGGCGGGACUGCCGGUGUAAGCCGAGAGGAAGGUGGGGAUGACGUCAAAUCAGCACGGCCCUUACGUCCGGGGCUACACACGUGUUACAAUGGGGGGUACAGAAGGCAGCUAGCGGGUGACCGUAUGCUAAUCCCAAAAGCCUCUCUCAGUUCGGAUCGAAGUCUGCAACCCGACUUCGUGAAGCUGGAUUCGCUAGUAAUCGCGCAUCAGCCAUGGCGCGGUGAAUACGUUCCCGGGCCUUGUACACACCGCCCGUCAAGCCAUGGAAGCUGGGGGUGCCUGAAGUUCGUGACCGCAAGGAGCGACCUAGGGCAAAACCGGU
rnacentral:rRNA from 1 species